AUUGAACGCUGGCGGCAUGCCUUACACAUGCAAGUCGAACGGCAGCAUGGAGAGCUUGCUCUCUGAUGGCGAGUGGCGAACGGGUGAGUAAAGCAUCGGAACGUACCGUGUAGUGGGGGAUAACGUAGCGAAAGUUACGCUAAUACCGCAUACGCACUGAGGUGGAAAGCAGGGGAUCGUAAGACCUUGCGCUAUACGAGCGGCCGAUGUCAGAUUAGCUAGUUGGUAGGGUAAAGGCCUACCAAGGCGACGAUCUGUAGCGGGUCUGAGAGGAUGAUCCGCCACACUGGGACUGAGACACGGCCCAGACUCCUACGGGAGGCAGCAGUGGGGAAUUUUGGACAAUGGGGGCAACCCUGAUCCAGCCAUGCCGCGUGGGUGAAGAAGGCCUUCGGGUUGUAAAGCUCUUUCGGCCGGGAAGAAAUCGCACAGGCUAAUACCCUGUGUGGAUGACGGUACCGGCAUAAGAAGCACCGGCUAACUACGUGCCAGCCGCCGCGGUAAGAC
rnacentral:rRNA from 1 species